CGUCACACUAUCAUUAACUGAAUCCAUAGGUUAAUGAGGCGAACCGGGGGAACUGAAACAUCUAAGUACCCCGAGGAAAAGAAAUCAACCGAGAUUCCCCCAGUAGCGGCGAGCGAACGGGGAGGAGCCCAGAGCCUGAAUCAGCAUGUGUGUUAGUGGAAGCGUCUGGAAAGGUGCGCGAUACAGGGUGACAGCCCCGUACACAAAAGCGCAUGUGCUGUGAGCUCGAUGAGUAGGGCGGGACACGUGGUAUCCUGUCUGAAUAUGGGGGGACCAUCCUCCAAGGCUAAAUACUCCUGACUGACCGAUAGUGAACCAGUACCGUGAGGGAAAGGCGAAAAGAACCCCGGCGAGGGGAGUGAAAAAGAACCUGAAACCGUGUACGUACAAGCAGUGGGAGCACNGUGUGACUGCGUACCUUUUGUAUAAUGGGUCAGCGACUUAUAUUCUGUAGCAAGGUUAACCGUAUAGGGGAGCCGGAGGGAAACCGAGUCUUAACCGGGCGUUAAGUUGCAGGGUAUAGACCCGAAACCCGGUGAUCUAGCCAUGGGCAGGUUGAAGGUUGGGUAACACUAACUGGAGGACCGAACCGACUAAUGUUGAAAAAUUAGCGGAUGACCUGUGGCUGGGGGUGAAAGGCCAAUCAAACCGGGAGAUAGCUGGUUCUCCCCGAAAGCUAUUUAGGUAGCGCCUCGUGAAUUCAUCUCCGGGGGUAGAGCACUGUUUCGGCUAGGGGGCCAUCCCGGCUUACCAACCCGAUGCAAACUGCGAAUACCGGAGAAUGUUAUCACGGGAGACACACGGCGGGUGCUAACGUCCGUCGUGAAGAGGGAAACAACCCAGACCGCCAGCUAAGGUCCCAAAGUCAUGGUUAAGUGGGAAACGAUGUGGGAAGGCCCAGACAGCCAGGAUGUUGGCUUAGAAGCAGCCAUCAUUUAAAGAAAGCGUAAUAGCUCACUGGUCGAGUCGGCCUGCGCGGAAGAUGUAACGGGGCUAAACCAUGCACCGAAGCUGCGGCAGCGAACGUAUCACCCAAGACAACUUUACGGAGUUGACGAUUGACGGAGCGAAGCGACGUCAAAGCGUUCAUUAAAGUCGAGUUGGCUUAGGGAUACGUUCGUUGGGUAGGGGAGCGUUCUGUAAGCCUGUGAAGGUGUGUCGUGAGGCAUGCUGGAGGUAUCAGAAGUGCGAAUGCUGACAUAAGUAACGAUAAAGCGGGUGAAAAGCCCGCUCGCCGGAAGACCAAGGGUUCCUGUCCAACGUUAAUCGGGGCAGGGUGAGUCGACCCCUAAGGCGAGGCCGAAAGGCGUAGUCGAUGGGAAACGGGUUAAUAUUCCCGUACUUGGUGUUACUGCGAAGGGGGGACGGAGAAGGCUAUGUUGGCCGGGCGACGGUUGUCCCGGUUUAAGCGUGUAGGUGUGUGUUCCAGGUAAAUCCGGUUCACUUUAACACUGAGGCGUGACGACGAGGCACUACGGUGCUGAAGCAACAAAUGCCCUGCUUCCAGGAAAAGCCUCUAAGCAUCAGGUAACACGAAAUCGUACCCCAAACCGACACAGGUGGUCAGGUAGAGAAUACCAAGGCGCUUGAGAGAACUCGGGUGAAGGAACUAGGCAAAAUGGUGCCGUAACUUCGGGAGAAGGCACGCUGACACGUAGGUGAAGUGAUUUACUCAUGGAGCUGAAGUCAGUCGAAGAUACCAGCUGGCUGCAACUGUUUAUUAAAAACACAGCACUGUGCAAACACGAAAGUGGACGUAUACGGUGUGACGCCUGCCCGGUGCCGGAAGGUUAAUUGAUGGGGUCAGCGCAAGCGAAGCUCCUGAUCGAAGCCCCGGUAAACGGCGGCCGUAACUAUAACGGUCCUAAGGUAGCGAAAUUCCUUGUCGGGUAAGUUCCGACCUGCACGAAUGGCGUAAUGAUGGCCAGGCUGUCUCCACCCGAGACUCAGUGAAAUUGAACUCGCUGUGAAGAUGCAGUGUACCCGCGGCAAGACGGAAAGACCCCGUGAACCUUUACUAUAGCUUGACACUGAACAUUGAGCCUUGAUGUGUAGGAUAGGUGGGAGGCUUUGAAGUGUGGACGCCAGUCUGCAUGGAGCCGACCUUGAAAUACCACCCUUUAAUGUUUGAUGUUCUAACGUGGACCCGUAAUCCGGGUUGCGGACAGUGUCUGGUGGGUAGUUUGACUGGGGCGGUCUCCUCCUAAAGAGUAACGGAGGAGCACGAAGGUUGGCUAAUCCUGGUCGGACAUCAGGAGGUUAGUGCAAUGGCAUAAGCCAGCUUGACUGCGAGCGUGACGGCGCGAGCAGGUGCGAAAGCAGGUCAUAGUGAUCCGGUGGUUCUGAAUGGAAGGGCCAUCGCUCAACGGAUAAAAGGUACUCCGGGGAUAACAGGCUGAUACCGCCCAAGAGUUCAUAUCGACGGCGGUGUUUGGCACCUCGAUGUCGGCUCAUCACAUCCUGGGGCUGAAGUAGGUCCCAAGGGUAUGGCUGUUCGCCAUUUAAAGUGGUACGCGAGCUGGGUUUAGAACGUCGUGAGACAGUUCGGUCCCUAUCUGCCGUGGGCGCUGGAGAACUGAGGGGGGCUGCUCCUAGUACGAGAGGACCGGAGUGGACGCAUCACUGGUGUUCGGGUUGUCAUGCCAAUGGCACUGCCCGGUAGCUAAAUGCGGAAGAGAUAAGUGCUGAAAGCAUCUAAGCACGAAACUUGCCCCGAGAUGAGUUCUCCCUGAGACUUAGAGUCUCCUGAAGGAACGUUGAAGACGACGACGUUGAUAGGCCGGGUGUGUAAGCGCAGCGAUGCGUUGAGCUAACCGGUACUAAUGAACCGUGAGGCUUAACCUU
rnacentral:rRNA from 1 species